UGGGGAAUAUUGCACAAUGGGCGCAAGCCUGAUGCAGCAACGCCGCGUGAACGAUGAAGGUCUUCGGAUCGUAAAGUUCUGUUGCAGGGGAAGAUAAUGACGGUACCCUGUGAGGAAGCCCCGGCUAACUACGUGCCAGCAGCCGCGGUAAUACGUAGGGGGCUAGCGUUAUCCGGAUUUACUGGGCGUAAAGGGUGCGCAGGUGGUCCUUCAAGUCGGUGGUUAAAGGCUACGGCUCAACCGUAGUAAGCCGCCGAAACUGGAGGACUUGAGUGCAGGAGAGGAAAGUGGAAUUCCCAGUGUAGCGGUGAAAUGCGUAGAUAUUGGGAGGAACACCAGUAGCGAAGGCGGCUUUCUGGACUGCAACUGACACUGAGGCACGAAAGCGUGGGUAGCAAACAGG
rnacentral:rRNA from 1 species